rnacentral:rRNA from 1 species
UUAAAUUGAAGAGUUUGAUCAUGGCUCAGAUUGAACGCUGGCGGCAGGCCUAACACAUGCAAGUCGAACGGUAACAGGAAUCAGCUUGCUGAUUUGCUGACGAGUGGCGGACGGGUGAGUAAUGUCUGGGAAACUGCC